UCUGUUCUGUCUUCUGUGUUCUUUUUAUUUAUUUAAUUUUUUAUCCAACUUAUUUUUCAUGAUUUUAAUUUAUCAAAAAUUCAAUAUUCAAUCCGUAGAAAACAAAAUCCUUUGAUCAGUUUUAACUCUUUCAGGUUCCUGCGAGGUUCCUGUUAUAAAGGAUUGUAGAACAAAAAUAAUAAUGAUGAAAUGAAUUCGCUAAAAAGAGUUAGAAUAAAGAAUAAUCAAUGAAAAAUUACCGGGGAAAAUUAUUAUUUAUUAUCAUGUCAGGCUAUAGACUGGUUGGUUUGAGUGAACUGGGUCCGACAGAAACGAGUGAUUUUGCACUACUGCAAAAUAAGGAUAUUCUCACAUCUAGUGGCUGCAUUCAGUGGCUAGCGUGUGGUGGAAAUAAUAAUAGCACUGUCCUAUUUUUUGUACAAAGCUUUAUUGUCUCAACGGAACUGUGACAUCCAUGAUUAUCAACAAUCAGGACAAAUUUGAAAGAGUCUGGAUAAAUAUCUCCUAAAUAUUUUUCAGGAUUAUUAUUCCUGUAUAAAUAAAAACAGGUGGAACUGCCCACCCAGUGACAUUAAUUAUAAAUUAUAUUUUCCUAUAACCAAGAUUUGUGUAUUAAUGACCAUAGACCUACUUAAGCUUGUA